GGCGAACGGGUGAGUAACACGUGGGUGAUCUGCCCUGCACUUCGGGAUAAGCCUGGGAAACUGGGUCUAAUACCGGAUAUGACCAAAGGCUGCAUGGCUUUUGGUGGAAAGGUUUACUGGUGCAGGAUGGGCCCGCGGCCUAUCAGCUUGUUGGUGGGGUAAUGGCCUACCAAGGCGACGACGGGUAGCCGACCUGAGAGGGUGACCGGCCACACUGGGACUGAGACACGGCCCAGACUCCUACGGGAGGCAGCAGUGGGGAAUAUUGCACAAUGGGCGAAAGCCUGAUGCAGCGACGCCGCGUGAGGGAUGACGGCCUUCGGGUUGUAAACCUCUUUCAGCAGGGACGAAGCGAAAGUGACGGUACCUGCAGAAGAAGCACCGGCCAACUACGUGCCAGCAGCCGCGGUAAUACGUAGGGUGCGAGCGUUGUCCGGAAUUACUGGGCGUAAAGAGCUCGUAGGCGGUUUGUCGCGUCGUCUGUGAAAACCAGCAGCUCAACUGCUGGCUUGCAGGCGAUACGGGCAGACUUGAGUACUGCAGGGGAGACUGGAAUUCCUGGUGUAGCGGUGAAAUGCGCAGAUAUCAGGAGGAACACCGGUGGCGAAGGCGGGUCUCUGGGCAGUAACUGACGCUGAGGA
rnacentral:rRNA from 1 species